rnacentral:rRNA from 1 species
UACGUAGGGGGCAAGCGUUGUCCGGAAUCAUUGGGCGUAAAGAGCGCGUAGGCGGCCCUGUAAGUCCGCUGUGAAAGUCAAGGGCUCAACCCUUGGAUGCCGGUGGAUACUGCAGGGCUAGAGUCCGGAAGAGGCGAGUGGAAUUCCUGGUGUAGCGGUGGAAUGCGCAGAUAUCAGGAGGAACACCAAUAGCGAAGGCAGCUCGCUGGGACGGUACUGACGCUAAGGCGCGAAAGCGUGGGGAGCGAACGAGG